UACGUAGGGACCGAGCGUUGUCCGGAUUCAUUGGGCGUAAAGAGCUCGUAGGCGGCUGUUCAAGUCGAACGUGAAAACUCGGAGCUCAACUCCGAGCCUGCGUUCGAUACUGGACGGCUAGAGUCUGGUAGGGGGAUCUGGAAUUCCUGGUGUAGCGGUGGAAUGCGCAGAUAUCGUAAGGAAGACCAGUGGCGAAGGCGGGUCUCUGGACAGUUCCUGACGCUGAGGCACGAAGGUCAGGGGAGCAAACGGG
rnacentral:rRNA from 1 species